rnacentral:lncRNA from 1 species
AUCUCGGAUACCAACCACCAAGUCUUUUGCCACUUGCACGGGAGACGGUCGGUUAAACAACUCUAUUUUCUCCGAUUGAAAAAUAGUGAAUGAUUCAUUGUCCUUACCAAAAAUUAAAAAGCCAUAAAUUGUUUCCGGUUUUUCUCUUUAGAAAAAAAAAAGUGUAAAUGAUUCACCGUUCUUUCUUAUAUUCCCCACACACAAUCCUAAUCACCAUAAAAAUAAUAAUAAAAAAAAAAUAAAAUCUCAACAACCCACGUAGAUUCCUAACAAACUCACAGAAAAUCUAAUAACUCACAAUACAACCAUAACAACCAAAUAAAAAUCCUAACAAUCCAUAUAAAAUUCUAGCAAUUCCAUCAAAAUUCUAACAACACAUAAAAAUUCCAUAAACAAUAGUCAAUCUGAAAAUUUCUAAAGAUAGUGAUGAAU